UGGUGGCGAUAGCGAAGAGGUCACACCCGUUCCCAUGCCGAACACGGAAGUUAAGCUCUUCAGCGCCGAUGGUAGUCGGGGGUUUCCCCCUGUGAGAGUAGGACGCCGCCAA
rnacentral:rRNA from 1 species